rnacentral:rRNA from 1 species
AACGAACGCUGGCGGCAUGCCUAACACAUGCAAGUCGAACGAGACCUUCGGGUCUAGUGGCGCACGGGUGCGUAACGCGUGGGAAUCUGCCUUUGGGUUCGGCAUAACAGUUGGAAACGACUGCUAAUACCGGAUGAUGACGUAAGUCCAAAGAUUUAUCGCCCAAGGAUGAGCCCGCGUAGGAUUAGCUAGUUGGUGAGGUAAAGGCUCACCAAGGCGACGAUCCUUAGCUGGUCUGAGAGGAUGAUCAGCCACACUGGGACUGAGACACGGCCCAGAAUCCUACGGGAGGCAGCAGUGGGGAAUAUUGGACAAUGGGCGAAAGCCUGAUCCAGCAAUGCCGCGUGAGUGAUGAAGGCCUUAGGGUUGUAAAGCUCUUUUACCCGGGAUGAUAAUGACAGUACCGGGAGAAUAAGCUCCGGCUAACUCCGUG